rnacentral:tRNA from 1 species
GGAGAGUUGCCGGAGCGGUUGAACGGGGCGGUCUCGAAAACCGUUGUGGGUUUUGCCCACCCAGGGUUCGAAUCCCUGACUCUCCGCCA